GUCUACUGCCAUGCCACCCUGAACAAGCCCAACGUCUUAUCUCGGAAGCUAAGCAGGCUCAGGCCUGGUUAGUACUGGGAUGGGAGACCACCUAGGAAGACCAGGUGCUAGAGGCA
rfam:Pteropus alecto contig90358, whole genome shotgun sequence.